UAUUCUGACAGGUGUCUCCAAUACUUUAAACGUCCCAAGACAGUCCCUGUGCUUUUGUUAGAGCUGGAGGACGAGGCAGUUCUGUCCCGGCUCGUAGACGUCCCCUUACCAGUGUGUUGCAUUGCAGAUCUGUUUGGUGUCAGCCAAAGUAGAGUCUUCUGGCGUGUGCGUGAACUUGGGUUGUCCACAACAUCUGCAUACAGCAGCUUAUCUGAUAGUGAAUUGGAUGAUGCUGUGCAGGCUAUAAAAAGCAGGAUCCCAAAUGCAGGAUAUAGAAUGGUUAAAGGCUGUCUGCGGAUGGGCAGUUCAAUGGGAUCGCAUUAAGGAGUCCAUGCACACAGUCGAUGCUCCAGGAGUUUUGGAACGGAUGGCAGGGCUGGGGUGCAUAGGAAGGAGGACAUACUUUGUGCAGGGGCCUUUGUCAUUAGUCCAUGUGGACACAAACCAUAAGCUUAUACAGUAAGGCAUUUAUUUAUGUAUUUAUUUAUUGGGAGGGAGGUGACUGCUCACUGUCAUUUCAUCUUUUGUUUUUAAGGUACAACAUCAUCAUAUCUGGUGCAGUAGAUGGGUACUCGAGAAAGGAGUGAUGAGGGCGUUGAAAAUGUCUCAAUUGCUGAAACCAUGUUCACUGUUAAAGGCACUGGAAGAGGGAGCUUCAUGGCUGGGCGCAGUGUACAUAAUCAGAGAAUCGAGCGCCCGUGGUGAGAUGUCUGAACCAGCGUGACACACCUUUACGAUGAAGUUCUUCACAGUCUCGAGGAAGAUGGCCUGUUGGAUCUGGCAGAUGCUGUUCAUCUGUUUUGUGCCCUUGAAGUUUUCCUUCCGUGCCUGGCAGACGCCCUUCACACCUUCGCAGAAGGCUCGGACAACCAUCCCUUAUGGACUGAAGGUGGACUCUCCCCAAACCAGCUCUGAGUUUUGGGUCACAUGAAGAACCCUUGUGACCCAAACGAUGAUUUGCAGGUUUGUUGAAGCUCUUUGAACAUGGAGCUAUUUGGAACUGACUGGAGGAACCAUAUGGAGUUCAAAUCCAGAGAGCCCUCUGAAUCCGUACAUUCUGGAAACUGUACAGUCCAUGAUGAAUCCCUUGGCAUCAUCAGAAUCAUUUGGCAGAGAGAGGCCUGGGAACGCCUUGGGGUCCACCCGGAAGAGCUGGAGAAAGUGUCUGGGGAGGGGGGAGUCUGGGCAUCCCUGCUCAAGCUGCUGCCCCCGCGACCCGGUCGGAAGAAGAUGGAUGGAUGGAUUUACAUAAAAAUGGCACAGACUGACGCUGGGAUCGUGAGCCCUGAGUACCCAGAGAUGUGGAGCAGGUCAGAGACAGCAGCCUGGUGCUGAACACACUCCUCUGACUGAUCAGAGUCCUGUGCAGAGGGUGGGAGGCGUGGUCCAGUAU